rnacentral:lncRNA from 1 species
GCACAUUUUGUGUUAUACAUGCAUACACUUAAUUAGAAAUGUCUCCAUUCAUAUGCAUGGCUUCACAUAAUAGAAAUAAUUAUAUGCUGGCGCUUUAUUUUGCUUCCUUGCUUUUGCAGCAGCAAUUUGUCUUGAUUUCUGCAUCCAGGAUGCCUAAUAUUCACCCACCAGCUAGCGUUCCAUGUUUGAACAGCCCGAACCAUUUUCUCUUAAUUCCAGCAUCCGACAGGCCUAAUAUUCACUCACCUGCCCCUGUCCCAAGUUCGGACAGCCCAAAACCUCCAGGGAAUCGUCGCCUUACUAUCAACCGGUAUAAGAAGAUAGAGUCGGAAGCUUUCAGGCCAACAACUCCAGGACACAGCCCAGGUAUGGGCAAUAACAACCCCCCUGGUGUCCAUAAACUUUAGGCAUAUCAUAUACUAGAGUUAAAAUCUUGUGAGAUUGCUGAUUGGUGAGUUUUUUUUACUAGUACUCUUGAGAGAGAAAUAAGAUAUUUCCAGGAUAAAUCUUUUCUAAAUCCUGUAAACAUAAGAAUGAAGAAUUAAGCUACUUGUACCCUAGUUUGACACCCUUUGAGGUGUCAAAAUCAAGGUCAUUGAUUUGAAUAAGUAUUGUUAAAAUGAAUGGUAAAACUCUGUG